AAGGCCCUGCUUUUGUGGGGUGCUCGAGUGGCGAACGGGUGAGUAACACGUGAGUAACCUGCCCUUGACUUUGGGAUAACUUCAGGAAACUGGGGCUAAUACCGGAUAGGAGCUCCUGCUGCAUGGUGGGGGUUGGAAAGUUUCGGCGGUUGGGGAUGGACUCGCGGCUUAUCAGCUUGUUGGUGGGGUAGUGGCUUACCAAGGCUUUGACGGGUAGCCGGCCUGAGAGGGUGACCGGCCACAUUGGGACUGAGAUACGGCCCAGACUCCUACGGGAGGCAGCAGUGGGGAAUAUUGCACAAUGGGCGGAAGCCUGAUGCAGCAACGCCGCGUGCGGGAUGACGGCCUUCGGGUUGUAAACCGCUUUCGCCUGUGACGAAGCGUGAGUGACGGUAAUGGGUAAAGAAGCACCGGCUAACUACGUGCCAGCAGCCGCGGUGAUACGUAGGGUGCGAGCGUUGUCCGGAUUUAUUGGGCGUAAAGGGCUCGUAGGUGGUUGAUCGCGUCGGAAGUGUAAUCUUGGGGGCUUAACCCUGAGCGUGCUUUCGAUAC
rnacentral:rRNA from 1 species